rnacentral:rRNA from 1 species
UACAGAGGUCUCAAGCGUUGUUCGGAUUCAUUGGGCGUAAAGGGUGCGUAGGUGGCGCUGUAAGUCGGGUGUGAAAUUUCGGAGCUUAACUCCGAAACUGCAUUCGAUACUGCGGUGCUUGAGGACUGGAGAGGAGACUGGAAAUUCAUGGUGUAGCAGUGAAAUGCGUAGAGAUCAUGAGGAAGACCAGUGGCGAAGGCGGGUCUCUGGACAGUUCCUGACACUGAGGCACGAAGGCCAGGGGAGCAAACGGG